rnacentral:tRNA from 1 species
UUGAUAAGGGUGGGGUUAAUACCCCACCUAACAGGGCUACAACCUGCCGCCUACCUCGGCCACCU